UCAGGUGGGACUACCCGCUGAACUUAAGCAUAUCAAUAAGCGGAGGAAAAGAAACUAACAAGGAUUCCCCUAGUAACGGCGAGUGAAGAGGGAAAAGCCCAAAUUUGUAAUCUGGCUCUUUUAUAGGAGUCCGAGUUGUAAUUUUGAGAACUGUUUUCUGUGCUGGACCAUAUACAAGUCUGUUGGAAAACAGCAUCAUUGAGGGUGAUAAUCCCGUAGAUGAUAUGGACUACCAGUGCAAUAUGAUACAGUCUCUAAGAGUCGAGUUGUUUGGGAAUGCAGCUCAAAGUGGGUGGUAAAUUCCAUCUAAGGCUAAAUAUAGGUGAGAGACCGAUAGCAAACAAGUACCGUGAGGGAAAGAUGAAAAGAACUUUGGAAAGAGAGUUAACAGUACGUGAAAUUGUUAAAAGGGAAACAUUUGAAGUUAGACUUGUUAUUAUUGGUUCAGCUUCUCUUUUUUAAUUAGGAGUCUAUUCCAAUGGUUGACAGACCAGCAUCAAUUUUUGRGUGUUAGAUAAGGGUCUUGGAGAAUGUGGCAACUUUGGUUGUGUUAUAGCUCCUGGCUUGAUAUAAUGCUUAAGAUUGAGGAACGCAGUGAGCUUUAACAAGCGGAUUCUUUU
rnacentral:rRNA from 1 species